rnacentral:piRNA from 1 species
UGAGAUUUGUGCUGGAGAUGUUG